GAUGAACGCUGGCGGCGUGCUUAACACAUGCAAGUCGAGCGGAAAGGCCCUUCGGGGUACUCGAGCGGCGAACGGGUGAGUAACACGUGAGUAAUCUGCCCUUGGCUUCGGGAUAGCCACCGGAAACGGUGAUUAAUACCGGAUACGACCACUCCUGGCAUCAGGUGGUGGUGGAAAGUUUUUCGGCCAGGGAUAUGCUCGCGGCCUAUCAGCUUGAUGGUGAGGUAAUGGCUCACCAUGGCUUCGACGGGUAGCCGGCCUGAGAGGGUGACCGGUCACACUGGGACUGAGACACGGCCCAGACUCCUACGGGAGGCAGCAGUGGGGAAUAUUGGACAAUGGGCGGAAGCCUGAUCCAGCAACGCCGCGUGAGGGAUGACGGCCUUCGGGUUGUAAACCUCUUUCAGCAGGGACGAAGCGCAAGUGACGGUACCUGCAGAAGAAGCACCGGCCAACUACGUGCCAGCCGCCGCAGUAA
rnacentral:rRNA from 1 species